rnacentral:rRNA from 1 species
AUGGACGCGAUACACGAGAUGGAGGACACCUACAAAAAUUCUGCAGCCAUUGCUGGGAACACCGCGACAAUGUUAGAAGCUUUCUCAAAGGCAGCCCUUUCAACUAGCGCUGCGCACUUGGUGCAGAUUGCGAGUCAAGUCGCAGGGAUAGCCGAUGAUUCGAUUGCUAGUAAGGUCAAGCUCGUCAAAGCUGCUCGUCGACUAUCUCGAAUAGAAGCUUCUGGAAAGGCUCAUGUCGUACGCGAGCUUAUACUUGAGUCCGCCGCACUCGCACGAGAAGCUGAAAAUGUAGGAAACGAGAUCCUCAGGUGCAGUGCCAUUGACUUGGGAAACGCUGGGCGUUCUUUCCUACAACUCGCUGCUUUGCACAACAUGGAUGGACUGGUGGAAGAGCAAGCCGACCAAGAUAAUGAGGAAGUCCCAGAGCAACCGACAACCUGGAUCUCUUCAUGGUGGUCCAAAAGGAAAAGAAUGAGAGAUAUUGAAUCUUUGAAGGCUCCUUUGCUAAAUCCAGCUGCCUCAAUGGUCAGGGACAAUACCUCUACCACCGUUCCACAGGGCCAGGGGAGGCUAUGUGACAAGUGGCUAGGCAUGCAGACAUGCGCCCUUGCAAUGUCUCUCAGUUUGCUCCCCUACAUGGGAAGAGAUGGCCUUUUUAAGGAUAAAACAAUUUUCUCAAGUAAUUAUCUGUGGCGGGUGGAUUUGCUAUUCAAGUUGUGGUGGGGCUUGGUAGCUCUUGGCGUGCCUUGCAGUUUGUAUGGUCGCGGUUGUAUGGCGCAGCAGUAUGCCCGUGUGUCCGGCCACUUGGCAAUACUUGGCCUGACUUUUCUUGUUGGCAUGUUCUCUCAUUGGAUACUGGAGAUUGAGGCGAUUGAGGCGACAAUACUGUUGAAAUCUUUUCUUGGCCUUACAGCCGCGGGUUUUAUUUGCUUGUUCAUAGCUUGCUGCGCAGCGGGUGACCUGUAA